rnacentral:tRNA from 1 species
GCCCUUCUGGCGCAAUGGUAGCGCGCCAGACUUCUAAUCUGGAGGCUGCAUGUUCGAGUCCUGCGUAGGGUA